CCUCAUCUGCCCUCUGCGGGUAGCAGGCAUGUGAUGAACAUGCACGUAUGAGGUCAAAACACCCCUACACAUAAAUCAAAGUGUUAAAUACUAUGACGAUAAGCCGUUUGUGGAGAGGGGGCUGGUGUGAUGGCUUAGGGGGUGAAGGAGCUUGCUGUCAAACCCGACAUCCUGAGUUCAAUCCUCGAGACCUACACAGUGGAAAGAGCAGCAACGGUUCCUCCAGAUUGUCCCCUGACCUCCACACGCAAAGUGUGGCAUGUGCACACAUACAAAAAUUGCUUAUUUUGGUUAACUGAUCUUAAAUUGUUGACUCAUGCACGUGCGCGCACGUGCACACACACACACACACACACACACACACACACACACACACACAAAUGUCAUUAAAAAAAAAAAACUCAAGGGGACUGGAGAGAUGGCUCAGCGGUUAAGAGCACUGACUGCUCUUCCAGAGGUCGUGAGUUCAAUUCCCAGCAACCACAUGGUGGCUCACAACCAUCUGUAAUGGAACCUGAUGCCCUCUUCUGGUGUCUGAAGUCAGCAACAAUGUACCCACAUACAUGAAAUAAAUAAAUAAAUCUUUAAAAAAAAUAAAAUAAAAAAAUCUCAAGGGAGAAAGGGUUUAUUCUGGUCCCCUGAGAAAUCACGCCACUCCACAGACCUGGUAUAAAGGAAUUUUAUUUGGCGGGGGGGGGGGGGGGGGGCGGCCAAUGAGGACCUGGAGAAGGGAACAGAGACAGACUGCAGACAGAGUCCCAAGAGCAGAGAAAGGGGGGAAAGAGAAGGACAGAAGAAAGAAAGAGAGGAACACGUGGGAACAGAGAGAGAAAAAGUGAAAGAGAAGAGGAGGAAGAGAGAGGAAGGUGAGAAAAGGAGGAGAGAGAGGCUCUAAUAGUGAAUGGUCCUCUUACGUGCUGCCCCGGACACACCCGGCCGGCAAUGGCGGCACGUGAUGACGCAAGCUGUUGCUAGGCCCCUAGGAGGAGCCUAAUGGAAUCCCUUGUAAACCAACAAAGACAGUGCAGAGCAUCCUCCAUUUUGUAUCCUUGCGGAGGCCAUUUCAGGUUUAACCAGAGUUUCAUCUACUUGAUGGAGAAUCCCUCCCUGUAGCAGUUCUGGAACUACAGCCACAUGCCAGUAUGCACAGUUUAACGUGGGCUCUGGAGAUUUGAGCUCAAAUUUCCAUGCUUGCACUGGACUCUCCCCAACCUGGACUUCGAAUGUCAGCUGGAAGGCUCUCAGAGCUUGGAGAUUUGACGUCCAUGGCCAGGUGCUGGUGAAAGAAUGAAGGGUGGGCCACCACCACCAUCAUCACCAUCACCACCGACAUCAUCUUCAUCAUUAUCACCGUCCUCAAUCGUAGUCUUCAUCCUCUGGAGGUUGAGGAAAAGACCUCCUGUCUCUUACAUGUGGCAUGAUUGCCUUUCCUGCUGACUGAUGCUCGAGAAACUUCAACAUGCCUGACAGCCCCACACUGCCAACAGACGUCUUCCCAAAGACAUCUCAAACAGCAAACAAGGGCUGGAACGGUGGCUCAGUGGUUAAGAGCAUUUGCUGCCCUUGUAGAGGACCUGGGUUUGGUUUCCAGUGCUCAUCUGAUGGCUCGCAACAAUUCACAAUCCCAGCUUCAGGGGAUCGAAUGCUCUCUUCUGGCCUCCGUGGGCAUCAGAAACACACAUGCUGGACAUAGAUGCAUGUAGCUCAAACAGUCAUGUACAUAGAAAUAAAAAUAUCUUAUAAAAAAUCCUCAGUAAAUGAAUGCUAUUUAGGCCAAGAGUGUUUGUAACUUGAGUACGAUACUCCCCAUCUCUAAGCCUAAACAAUGCACCGCAUAAAACCAUCUCAGGAGUGCCCUUUUUACUUGAUUUUAAAACCUAGAAGUUUUUGUGUUUUUUUUUUUUUUUAAUGUUUAUGUAUGAGUGCUCUAUCUGCAUGUACACCCGAGUGCCACUAGAGGGCAUCAGACCCCAAUGUAGAUGGUUGUGAGCUACCACGUGGUUGCUGGGAAUUGAACUAAGGACCACUUCGUGGUCCUAACAGCUAAGCCAUCUCUCCAGCUCUUUAAAACUUAAAUUUUAAGCACGUGUGUGUGUGUGUGUGUGUGUGUGUGUGUGUGUGUGUGUGUGUGCGCGCGCGUCCAUACCCACGAAUGUCCAUACCCGCACACAGGCACAGACACUCAUACCAAUACAGUCUCACACUCAACCACAUUUGGGCAUAUGUUCCUGCAAACACACACACGUAUUCACACACACACACACACACACACACACACACACUUUACCACACUUGCACAUGUGCACACUUCCACUUUCACUCCAACACUAGGUUAAGAGCUUGGAAGUUGUCCCCACCAUUCUUACUCUAAGAAAAAGUUGAGCGUGGUGACUUUUAUAAUUCCGGUCCUUAGAAGCUGGAGGCAGGAGGAUUGUCCUGAGUUCAAAGCCAACCUGGGCUCCUUGAUGACUUCUGGUCAAAUGGGAGGGGGAGAAGGAGACAUAGAUAGAUAGAUAGAUAGAUAGAUAGAUAGAUAGAUAGAUAGAUAGACAGACAGACAGACAGACACUCUGAAAAUCAACAAUGAGAUUCAGAUCCAUGGAGAUUCGAGGUCAAACUCAGCUCUGAAAGCCGGGGUGGGGAAGGGGCAGAGAAUCUCAGCCAGCCCAGGCAGAUGCAGGAACCAGAAGUGGUUGGAAGGCUUCCAGAACCGCAGCUGGACGCCCUCUGAGGACCCUGGGGAGAGCCCAACCCUGAGGGGCCCCUGUGGAGGGGCUGUAAUCAGAAGGGCUAGGGGGCCCUAGUCAGGAAACAGCUCUGCGCUAAGCUUAUCUGAUCACGGAAAGGGAUCAGAGGAGCCACCCUCUUUACACCUUCCUGUCUCCUGCAAGGGAAAGAGGGACAAUUAGAAAACCUAAGAAAUUCUUCUAAAGGUUGCCUCUCAGGAACUGCCUACCUGGUAAAUAGGCUGAAUUGGAUCAAAGGGCAUCAUCACAUUGUGUAGAGAAACUAGGAAAAAUGUCACAACAGGGCUACAGAGAUGGCCCAGUGAGAAAGGGACUUUGGACACAAACGUGAGGACCCAUUUUAAAACUCAGCGCGUGGACAAUGUCUGUAAUCAAUUUCAAUGCUGGGGAGAGGGGCAAAGACAGGAGGAUCUCUGGCCCAAUUGGUAAGCUCCGGGUUAGACAGGAGAUCCUGUCUCAAAACUUAAAGUGGAGAGUGUAAGGGGUGGGGCAACCCCUGAGGGUCAAGACCCAGCCAGACAGCAACUUCUCAGCACAACUCAGCACAAAGAAGAUUUAUUAUCGUGAAGGGCCUGGGGUGAGGGGAAGCUUGCCUCUGGGUCAGGCUAAGGCAGGCACAAGCAACAGCAGGUGGUUAUGCCUGGGUUUGUUUUUCUUUUUAAAGAGAAAAGGAGUCUGGAUGGGGAGAGUGGGUAAGUCUUGAUUGGACAUGAUAGACAAAUAAUGGGUUUUGAUUGCUGGACCUUGGCGUUUUGUCUCAGGAAUGAGUCAGUGGUCAGGGAAUGGGCCAGACCGUGCAGGUAUAAGGGCCCAUGAUUCACCUAAGUAUGACACCUGGACUCAAACUGUAUGUAAACACAGUGUCUUAUUCUGCACAAGUCCAGCAUGCUGGGGUCUCCCACUACCAAGAUAGAGACCCUGAAGUAAGCUCACCCGACCCAAAUUAAAGCACAUUGGGGGAAUUAAGCUUUGUCUUACUCUAUCUCUAAGGACAUUCCAUUCCCAGGGUGUGGGGGCUGUCUGGAAACUGCUGACCCAUUGUCCUUGUUUCAGGCCAGGUGGUGGGGCAGUUUCUGAUGGCAGAGCACUUUCUGACUGGCUGCCUGAAGCCUGGGUUUUUAGGCCCUAAUCUCCUGAACUGCCAAUUUGAAGCCUGACGUGGAGUCAGCCUGUCUCAUCACGGGUAGCUUUAGGAAUGUAAUCUAACAGUUUCCAGGAGAGAGAAGGGUACAAGGCAAAACCUGUAGGCGCCAUGUUUGCUGCGUUCAGGCCUGUUAGGGAGCCCUUCAGAGAGCAAUUGAAAAAAGCUCUGGAUGUUGAUCUCUGGCCUGCACACUCGCAUGCGCGCGUGCGCACACAGACACACAGACAGACAGACACACAGACACACACACACAGACACGUGCACACACACACACAAAGACACACACAGACACACACACACUGAUACACAUACACAGAGACACACACACAGACACGUGCACACACACAUACACACAGAGACACACACACAGAGACACACACACAGAGACACACAGAUACACACACACACUGAUACACAUACACAGACACACACACACACACAAGAACAGAUAAAACAAUUUUAAGUAAAAGGACAAGGCUGGAGAGAAGGCUUAGCAAUUAAGAGCACUUUCUUCUCACUUUCUUCUCUUACAGAGGCCCUGGGUUCAGUUCCUAUCACCUAAGUGCCUAUACCUCUAGUCCCAGGGUUUCAGAUGUUCUUCUGCUUCCUGGCCAAGUUAUUUAUCCACUGGGAAUGUGUGUGUGUGUGUGUGUGUGUGUGUGUGUGUGUGUGUGUGUGUGUGUGUGUGUAGAGUGAAUGCCUGUCAUGGCUCUAAGAAUCAACCUGUGUGAAAGAUGAAGCCAGUUAAGGCCCCUCUGCCUGCUCCCCCCUAUGAUCCCUGUUCUGUCUUCUUACCUACCCACUAUAGAUGACAGCAACGAACUCUUACAGUCAAGGAUCACGGUUCCAGGAUUCCCAGGGAUGCCAACAGCUAUGGGUAUUAGAUAAGCCCCUUAGAUAAGAAGGCAAAUUGCCACCCCUCACCCCUGUUUACUUAAAUCGUAAUUUACCUUUAAUUCCCACUACAAGGAAAGGGUUAAGAAACUAAAUGUUACACUGUAUUACCUAGGAAAUUCUGAUUUAAAAAAAAAAAAUUGGUCUAUGCUCAGUACAGAGGGGCUAUCAUUGCACGUGUUGGCCGCAGUGUGACUUGAGUGUUUAAUAUAUUUGCUCUGAGGUUGGCUAAAUCCAGGGAUGGAGAAGCCGUAGGCUCAGAGGUCACGGAGACAGAGCUCCCCCUGCACCACUGAUCAGCCUCUGUGUACACUAUCUCAUGUGCUCUUUACAUAAACCACGUGUGCCGGGAGUUCCUAAUCUUUCACACAUUGGAAUCUGAGGUCAAGACAGUUCUGUAACUUGUUCCAAGGUAGCUAGCCCAUGCCCGUGGGUGGCCAGAGUCCAUGCAGCCACAGACUUUGUCAAAUGUUCCCCGGGUCUCUGUGGCCUGUUCCUGCAAGCCCGAUUCUCACUGAGUUGUCGAUCGAGUGUCCCACGCCCAGCAUUUCCCACGCUUGGUGGCUAUAAAUAGCUGUUCCGUGCUGGAAUAAGUCAAAGCCUUUUUCCCUCAGGACUCCAGAAUACACCCCACAGAGGGCCCACAGAACACAGCUGCCUGAGCUGAAAGUAAGUAAGCUCGGAGCCAUUUUCCCCCCUUCUUCUUGUGACACUGGAGAGUAUCCCAGGCAUUCAUCUGGGAAGGCUGUUCUUUAUAUCUACCCCUGGGUGGACACGGACAGUAUGAUCCAAGAGGUCCUUUUUGGGGGAUACUGGUGACUUUCCAAAGAGGCGAGCAAUGUGGAAAGCAUCCACAGAAAGAAACAGGUCCUGGAGGAGUUGGUAGGAGAACAGGACAGGCAUCUGGGCUAGCCCGAUCCACUGCACACCAAACGUGACCAGCAGCUGUCUCCUUGGCUUCCUGAGGAUAGUUCUAACUUUGUGAUGAUGUUCUUUUCCACUUUUACAUGGCUAGAGACAAGGGCUAAACAUGACUUCUCUGCUGCUGGCCGUUCCAGAGAUAAUCCCUUGCAAGGAUGCAUGGGAAAUCAGCAGAAGGCCUCGAGGGAGCAGCGCAGUGUCUUUUUCUCUCAACUUGUUUAGACAGUAUCUCCGGCCAGCCUAGAGCUCAGGGUGGGACACCAAAAUGCUAGGAUCCCAGGCAUGAACCACCAUGCCUAACCAUUCUAGAGUAUCCUUUAAGUUUUUUCUUAUUUAUUUAGUGUGUGUGUGUGUGUGUGUGUGUGUGUGUGUGUGUGUGUGUGUGUUACAUGCAUGCCACAGCAUGUGUGGAAGCCAGAGGACAACUCUUGAGAACCCUUUUCCUUUACCAUGUGACUCCUGGAGAUUGAAGCCAGGACAUGAGACUUGUAGACCCAUGUCUUUACCCAGUGAGUUAUCUUGUCUGAAUCCAUACCGGCGUGUCCUAAUGACAGCUCAGGUACAAGGAGGAAAACUGAAAAUCACCAUGUAAGGGUCUGGAGAGGCGGCUCAGUGGUUAAGAGCACUGACUGCUCUUCCAGAGGUCCUGAGUUCAAUUCCCAGCAACCACAUGGUGGCUCACAACCGUCUGUAAUGGGAUCCAGUGCCCUCUUCUGGUGUGUCUGAAGACAGCAAUGGUGCACUCACAUCUAUAAAAUAAAUAAAUUAA